UACGUAGGGUGCAAGCGUUAAUCGGAAUUACUGGGCGUAAAGCGUGCGCAGGCGGUUUUGUAAGUUUGUCGUGAAAGCCCCGGGCUCAACCUGGGAAUUGCGAUGAAGACUGCAAGGCUAGAAUCUGGCAGAGGGGGGUAGAAUUCCACGUGUAGCAGUGAAAUGCGUAGAGAUGUGGAGGAACGCCGAUGGCGAAGGCAGCCCCCUGGGUCAAGAUUGACGCUCAUGCACGAAAGCGUGGGGAGCAAACAGG
rnacentral:rRNA from 1 species